UUAAGCUACUAAGAGCAUAGGGAGGAUACCUUGACACCAAGAGCCGAUGAAGGACGUGAUAAGCUGCGAAAAGCUAUGGGGAGAAGCAAAUAUUCAUUGAUCCAUAGAUAUCCGAAUGAGGAAACUCAGCUAGAGAAAAUAAUCUAGUUAUCCAUACGUAAGUAAAGUAGCGUAUGAGAGGGGAACGCAGGGAACUGAAACAUCUUAGUACCUGCAGGAAAAGAAAGAAAACUCGAUUCCUGAAGUAGUGGCGAGCGAAACAGGAAGAGCCUAAACCAGGAGAAGUAAUUCACCUGGGGUGACGGACUACAAAAAUGACUCAAGAAUCUAGUAGAAAUGUUUUGGAAAAGCAUACCAUAGAAGGUGAAAGUCCGGUAUAUGAAAGAGGAAGGAGCAUGGUAGGAUCCAGAGUAAUGCGAGGCACGUGGAAUCUCGUAUGAAAAAGUGGGGACCACCCCAUAAGGCUAAAUACUACUUGGUGAUCGAUAGUGGAAUAGUACCGUGAGGGAAAGGUGAAAAGAACCCCGGGAGGGGAGUGAAAGAGAACUUGAAACCCUAUGUUUACAAGCAGAUAGAGCGAUUUAAGGCGCGAUAUCGUACUUUUUGUAGAACGGUCCAGCGAGUUAUUGUAUAUGGCAAGGUUAAGUACUAAGUAAGGUACGGAGCCGAAGUGAAAGCGAGCCUGAACAGGGCGAAUUAAGUCAUAUGUAAUAGACCCGAAACCGGGUGACCUAUCCAUGGUCAGGAUGAAGCUAGAGUAAAAUCUAGUGGAGGUCCGAACUCAUAAGCGUUAAAAAGCUUCGGGAUGAACUGUGGAUAGCGGAGAAAUUCCAAUCGAACUCGGAGAUAGCUGGUUCUCCUCGAAAUAGCUUUAGGGCUAGCCUUGUGUAGUAGUAUAUGGGGGUAGAGCACUGACUGAGGUAGGGGCCUAACCAGGUUACCAAACUCUAUCAAACUCCGAAUACCGUAUAUGUAAGCACAGGAGUCAGACUGCGGGAGCUAAGUUCCGUGGUCAAAAGGGAAAGAGCCCAGAUCGUCAAUUAAGGUCCCAAAGAUAUAGCUAAGUGGCAAACGAUGUGAUUUUGCGUAAACAACCAGGAUGUUGGCUUAGAAGCAGCCAUACAUUUAAAGAGUGCGUAAUAGCUCACUGGUCGAGUGAAGUUGCGCGGAAAAUUACCGGGGCUAAGCUAUACACCGAAAUUGCGGAUUUACACUUGAAAGAUAGUGUAAGUGGUAGAGGAGCAUUCUGUAGUAGGGAGAAGCAAAAGCGAGAGCAUUUGUGGACGAGGCAGAAGAGAGAAUGCUGGAAUAAGUAGCGAGAGCAAGGUGAGAAUCCUUGCCGUCGAAAGUCUAAGGUUUCCUGGGGAAGGUUCGUCCGCCCAGGGUAAGUCGGGACCUAAGGUGAGGCUGAAAAGCGUAGCCGAUGGAUAGCAGGUUGAGAUUCCUGCACUAUAGAUAUACUUAAAAGAUGCAAGGGACGCAGGAGUGGAAGAUAAGCGAGGAAGAGGAAAGACUCGUAUCGCAAGAUAUAGUGAAAAUAAAGUAACGAAUUAUCAAGAAGCACACUGACGAGAAAAGCUUGUAGAUAUUGUAUAUAAAUACCCGUACCGCAAACCGACACAGGUAGAUGAGGAGAGGAUCCUAAGACGAGCGGGAGAAGCAUUGUUAAGGAACUCGGCAAAUUGACCCCGUAACUUAGGGAGAAGGGGUGCCAAGGUAGAACUUGGCCGCAGUGAAGAGGUUCAAGCAACUGUUUAACAAAAACACAGGUUUCUGCUAAAUCGAAAGAUGAAGUAUAGGAGCUGACGCCUGCCCAGUGCUGGAAGGUCAAAGGGAAGUGUUAGUAAAAACUUACGAAGCACAGAACUCAAGCCCCAGUGAACGGCGGCCGUAACUAUAACGGUCCUAAGGUAGCGAAAUUCCUUGUCAGGUAAGUUCUGACCCGCACGAAAGGCGUAAUGAUUUGAACACUGUCUCGACAAUGUACCCGGCGAAAUUGUAGUACUAGUGAAGAUGCUAGUUACCUGCGACAAGACAGAAAGACCCCAUGGAGCUUUACUGCAGCUUGAUACUGGGUUUUGGUAAUUUAUGUACAGGAUAGGUGGGAUACGAAGAAGCAAGUGCGCCAGCAUUUGUGGAGUAGACGUUGGGAUACCACUCUUAAAUUAUUGAAAUUCUAACCUGUGAUCAUGAACUGGUCAGGGGACAAUGUCAGGCGGGCAGUUUGACUGGGGCGGUCGCCUCCUAAAGAGUAACGGAGGCGCCCAAAGGUUUCCUCAGCACGGACAGAAAUCGUGCAAAAGAGUGUAAAGGCAGAAGGAAGCUUAACUGGGAGACUGACAAGUCGAGCAGAUACGAAAGUAGGGCUUAGUGAUCCGGCGGUAGUGAGUGGAAAUGCCGUCGCUCAACGGACAAAAGUUACCCUGGGGAUAACAGGCUUAUCUCCCCCAAGAGUUCACAUCGACGGGGAGGUUUGGCACCUCGAUGUCGGCUCAUCGCAUCCUGGAGCUGAAGUCGGUUCCAAGGGUUGGGCUGUUCGCCCAUUAAAGCGGUACGCGAGCUGGGUUCAGAACGUCGUGAGACAGUUCGGUCCUUAUCUGUCGCAGGCGUAGGAUAUUUGAAGGGAGCUGUCCUUAGUACGAGAGGACCAGGAUGGACAUACCGAUGGUGUAUCAGUUGUCACACCAGUGGCACGGCUGAGUAGCUAAGUAUGGAAGGGAUAAACGCUGAAAGCAUCUAAGUGUGAAGCCCACCUUAAGAUAAGAUAUCCCAUUGCGUGAAGCAAGUAAGAUCCCAUGAAGACUACAUGGUAGAUAGGUUGGGGGUGUAAGUACAGUAAUGUAUUAAGCUGACCAAUACUAAUAGAUCGAGGGCUUAACCAC
rnacentral:rRNA from 1 species